GAACCCUAUUAGCUGCCUGGCGCAAAUUCAACAGGCCAAAAAGGAAAAGGAGCCAGAUUAUGUUUUGCUUUCAGAAAGAGGAAUGCCUCGAUGUCGAGAAUUUGUGAUGUAUAUGAAGGUAGGCAAUGAAGCUGCUACAGGAACGGGACCUAAUAAAAAGGCCAAAAAAAAAAAAAAGUGUUGCAGUAGCAAUGCUAUUACAACUUGGUUAUAAAGCAUCCAUUAAUCUUCAGGAUCAACUUGAGAAGACAGGGGAAAACAAAGGAUGGAGUGAUCCAACGCCUGGGUUUCCUGAACCAACAAAUAAUACUCCAAAAGGAAUUCUUCAUUUGUCUCCUGAUGUUUAUCAAGAGAUGGAAGCCAGCCACCACAAAGUAACCUCUGGCACUACUCUAGGCUAUUUGUCACCCAGAGAUAUGAACCAACCUUCAAGCUCUUUGUUCAGUAUGUAUCCCACAUCAAAUAGUUCAGCUACAAUGGCCAGGGAACUCCUUAUGAAUGGAACAUCUUCUACAGCUGAAGCCACAGGUUUAAAAGGAAGUUCUCCUACUCCCCCUUGUUCUCCAGUACAACCUUCAAAACAACUGGAAUAUUUAGCAAGGAUUCAAGGCUUUCAGGUAUG
rnacentral:lncRNA from 1 species